rnacentral:miRNA from 1 species
GGUCAGAAAUGGUUGCAAAUUAGUAG